UUUCGACCUGAGGUCAGGCAAGAACACCCGCUGAACUUAAGCAUAUCAAUAA
rnacentral:rRNA from 1 species